rnacentral:rRNA from 1 species
GACGAACCGUGCGAACGUUGUUCGGAAUCACUGGGCUUAAAGGGCGCGUAGGCGGGCCCGCCAGUCCCUGGUGAAAUCCCCCGGCUCAACCGGGGAAGCGCCCGGGAUACUGCGGGCCUCGAGGGGGGUAGGGGCGCGCGGAACUUCCGGUGGAGCGGUGAAAUGCGUAGAUAUCGGAAGGAACACCGGUGGCGAAAGCGGCGCGCUGGGCCCUUGCUGACGCUGAGGCGCGAAAGCCAGGGGAGCAAACGGG